rnacentral:misc_RNA from 1 species
AGAUGAAGCAUCCGAUCACCAGCCACCGCAGUUUCUCUUCGACUGUUUCCAUAUGAUGAAUGGUCAGAAAUCCGAUCAAGUAGGAUGUCUUUUGUCAGAACUUCAUUUCCUGCUUCAGAAAUUUCAGACCUUGAAUGUGACCGAUUAUAACGCUCCUGUCCAUGAAGUGUUGAUUUGUCCUUGGUCGCACGACUACGUUCUCGGCCAGAUUUUACCUCUUCAAUCUCCUUCAUUGCUUUCUCUAGCUU